rnacentral:tRNA from 1 species
GCCGAUGUGGUGGAAUUGGUAGACACGCUAUCUUGAGGGGGUAGUGGCGCAAGCCGUCCCGGUUCGAGUCCGGGCAUCGGCACCA